UAGGGAAUCUUCGGCAAUGGACGAAAGUCUGACCGAGCAACGCCGCGUGAGUGAAGAAGGUUUUCGGAUCGUAAAACUCUGUUGUUAGAGAAGAACAAGGACGUUAGUAACUGAACGUCCCCUGACGGUAUCUAACCAGAAAGCCACGGCUAACUACGUGCCAGCAGCCGCGGUAAUACGUAGGUGGCAAGCGUUGUCCGGAUUUAUUGGGCGUAAAGCGAGCGCAGGCGGUUUCUUAAGUCUGAUGUGAAAGCCCCCGGCUCAACCGGGGAGGGUCAUUGGAGACUGGGAGCCUUGAGUGGAGAAGAGGAGAGUGGAAUUCCAUGUGUAGCGGUGAAAUGCGUAGAUAUAUGGAGGAACACCAGUGGCGAAGGCGGCUCUCUGGUCUAUAACUGACGCUGAGGCUCGAAAGCGUGGGGAGCAAACAGG
rnacentral:rRNA from 1 species